UACAGGGGGUGCAAACGUUGCUCGGAAUCAUUGGGCGUAAAGCGCACGUAGGCGGUUCGUUAUGUCGGAUGUGAAAGCCCUUGGCUUAACCGAGGAAGUGCAUCCGAAACUGCCAGGCUUGAGGCAUGGAGAGGGAUGCGGAAUUCCCGGUGUAGCGGUGAAAUGCGUAGAUAUCGGAAGGAACACCUGUGGCGAAAGCGGCUCACUGGACCAUAACUGACGCUGAGGCACGAAAGCUAGGGGAGCAAACAGG
rnacentral:rRNA from 1 species